GUGUUAGUUCGCUAACACAUUUACUAAAGCGGGAGGAAUACAGAGAAGAUUAGCAUGGCCCCUGCGCAAGGAUGACACGCAAAUUUGUGAAGCGCUCCUCCGUUUU